GGCAGACCGCUUCUCCCGCACGCCGGCGCGCACACGCGCGCGUCCGCCCUGCACGCACGCUAGCGCGCCUCGCGUGCGCAGCCGUGCCCAUGCACGCGCACGUGCGAGCACUUUGCAUGCACGCGCAUGCAGGCCCCUGCACGCCCCCUCUGCCGCGCUGCAGCCCUCGCACGCGUAUUCGCACGCUGCACGUGCGGGCAGCCCUGUGUACGCACGCACACCCUGCGGACACUCACACAUGCUCUCACUCCCCCUGCAUGUUUGCACGCACACACACUGAAGCAUGCACGUCCUGCACACAUACACUCACGCACGCACGCUUGCACCCCGCAUGCAUGCACACACACAUACAUGCACGUGUACAUGCACACUCACACGCUCGCACGCUGCAUGCACGCACACAUACACAGAAGCACGCACACCCUGCACACACACAGCCCGCGUGCACAUGCAUGUGUGUGCACACCCCCACACAUGCACAACCACACACAUGCACACACAUACAUGCAUAUGCACACGUGCACACCCCCACACAGGUAUACUCACCCACACAUGCGCAGCCACACACGUUUGCACACACACAAGCACACGCAUGUGUGUGCACACCACCACACACAUGCACACACACACACACAUGCACGUGCAUGCGUGUGUGCACACCCACACAUGCACCCACACACACGCGUGCACACACAUGCACGUGCAUGUGUGUACACCCCCACACAUGCACCCCCACACAUGCAUGCACACACACAUGCACCCCCACACAUACACACACAUGCACACCCAUAUGCAUGCGUGUGCCUCCCUACACAGGCACACACGCACCCCCACACAUGCACACACACACAUACGCACACCCACCCAUAUGCAUGCGUGUGCCCCCCUAUACAUGCACACACACAUGCACCCCCCACACAUGCACCCCCCCACACAUGCGCACAUGCACACAUAUGCACACACAUUCGCACACAUGCACACACACAUGCACGCACACAUGCACACACGCACACAUGCGCACGCACAUGCACAUGCGCACACACACAUAUGCACACGCACAUAUGCACACGCCCAUGCACAUGCGCACAUAUGCACACACACAUGUACAUACACACACAUGCACACAUNNNNNNNNNNNNNNNNNNNNNNNNNNNNNNNNNNNNNNNNNNNNNNNNN
rnacentral:lncRNA from 1 species